GCGGAAUUCAGGUUGCUUUUUUAUUGUUAUUUAUUGUUGCAUAAAGACUGUAAUUACUAACCUUGGACUGCCAGGAUGCAACAUAAAAAUGAAAAUCAGCCCUGCUUUAAGGCUGAGGGCCUGGAAUGAUUCUCACCCCCACAACCACCACUACCACCAAAUAUAUGCUCCUAAUUAAGCAAUGCGGGCGCAUAGCUUACAAUUAGAAUUAUGCAACUCUUCAGCAAGCAAGCAUCGCUUCUCUUUCAACGAAUUAGCUCCAUAUUUCAGCCACCCUGUCUCCUCGCUCUUAUCGGCUCCAGCGACGCGGCGGUGACAUUUCAUCUUUGACAGACCCUCUCUAUCCUCGCUCCAGUGUGAUAAAACUUUUAUGGAACCCCGACUAAGAAAUGAAGUUUUCCCAAGGAUCCUGGAAACAGCCGCACAUUAGCCUGGGGACCAUUUUAUUUACGCUUGGAUCCAACAGCUUCUUCCACCUUCUUUUCCUCUUUCCCUGGCAAGAGGAUUUGUCCCCUCUCCCUCUGCCCCAAGUUUUAUUUAGUGAUUUAAUUUCACUUUAGUUU
rnacentral:lncRNA from 1 species